rnacentral:rRNA from 1 species
UGUGACUGCGUACCUUUUGUAUAAUGGGUCAGCGACUUAUAUUCUGUAGCAAGGUUAACCGUAUAGGGGAGCCGUAGGGAAACCGAGUCUUAACCGGGCGUUAAGUUGCAGGGUAUAGACCCGAAACCCGGUGAUCUAGCCAUGGGCAGGUUGAAGGUUGGGUAACACUAACUGGAGGACCGAACCGACUAAUGUUGAAAAAUUAGCGGAUGACCUGUGGCUGGGGGUGAAAGGCCAAUCAAACCGGGAGAUAGCUGGUUCUCCCCGAAAGCUAUUUAGGUAGCGCCUCGUGAAUUCAUCUCCGGGGGUAGAGCACUGUUUCGGCUAGGGGGCCAUCCCGGCUUACCAACCCGAUGCAAACUGCGAAUACCGGAGAAUGUUAUCACGGGAGACACACGGCGGGUGCUAACGUCCGUCGUGAAGAGGGAAACAACCCAGACCGCCAGCUAAGGUCCCAAAGUCAUGGUUAAGUGGGAAACGAUGUGGGAAGGCCCAGACAGCCAGGAUGUUGGCUUAGAAGCAGCCAUCAUUUAAAGAAAGCGUAAUAGCUCACUGGUCGAGUCGGCCUGCGCGGAAGAUGUAACGGGGCUAAACCAUGCACCGAAGCUGCGGCAGCGAACGUAUCACCCAAGACAACUUUACGGAGUUGACGAUUGACGGAGCGAAGCGACGUCAAAGCGUUCAUUAAAGUCGAGUUGGCUUAGGGAUACGUUCGUUGGGUAGGGGAGCGUUCUGUAAGCCUGUGAAGGUGUGUCGUGAGGCAUGCUGGAGGUAUCAGAAGUGCGAAUGCUGACAUAAGUAACGAUAAAGCGGGUGAAAAGCCCGCUCGCCGGAAGACCAAGGGUUCCUGUCCAACGUUAAUCGGGGCAGGGUGAGUCGACCCCUAAGGCGAGGCCGAAAGGCGUAGUCGAUGGGAAACGGGUUAAUAUUCCCGUACUUGGUGUUACUGCGAAGGGGGGACGGAGAAGGCUAUGUUGGCCGGGCGACGGUUGUCCCGGUUUAAGCGUGUAGGUGUGUGUUCCAGGUAAAUCCGGUUCACUUUAACACUGAGGCGUGACGACGAGGCACUACGGUGCUGAAGCAACAAAUGCCCUGCUUCCAGGAAAAGCCUCUAAGCAUCAGGUAACACGAAAUCGUACCCCAAACCGACACAGGUGGUCAGGUAGAGAAUACCAAGGCGCUUGAGAGAACUCGGGUGAAGGAACUAGGCAAAAUGGUGCCGUAACUUCGGGAGAAGGCACGCUGACACGUAGGUGAAGUGAUUUACUCAUGGAGCUGAAGUCAGUCGAAGAUACCAGCUGGCUGCAACUGUUUAUUAAAAACACAGCACUGUGCAAACACGAAAGUGGACGUAUACGGUGUGACGCCUGCCCGGUGCCGGAA